UUAUAAGACCAAAUAUUCUUGUCAAAGCCUGAUCUUGUUAAAUCUCUGAAGCUGAGCAGGUCCAGGCCUGGUCAGGGCUUGGAUGGAAGACUUCUGGGAAUACCAGGUGCUAUAGU
rnacentral:rRNA from 1 species